UACGUAGGGUGCAAGCGUUGUCCGGAAUUAUUGGGCGUAAAGAGCUCGUAGGCGGUUUGUCGCGUCUGCUGUGAAAUCCCGAGGCUCAACCUCGGGCCUGCAGUGGGUACGGGCAGACUAGAGUGCGGUAGGGGAGAUUGGAAUUCCUGGUGUAGCGGUGGGAAUGCGCAGAUAUCAGGGAGGAACACCGGUGGCGAAGGCGGUCGUCC
rnacentral:rRNA from 1 species